rnacentral:rRNA from 1 species
UACGGGGGGAGCAAGCGUUGUUCGGAUUUACUGGGCGUAAAGGGCGCGUAGGCGGUCGUGACAAGUCACUUGUGAAAUCUCCGGGCUUAACUCGGAACGGUCAAGUGAUACUGUCGGACUAGAGUACAGAAGGGGCAACUGGAAUUCUCGGUGUAGCGGUGAAAUGCGUAGAUAUCGAGAGGAACACCUGCGGCGAAGGCGGGUCUCUGGGCCGAUACUGACGCUGAGGCGCGAAAGCUAGGGGAGCGAACGGG